GUCUAAAAAAGUUUUGCACUGUUCAUACCUAAUAUUUGACCGUCAUCUUAUUUGAAUUUUUUUAUGAUUAGUAUUUUUAUUACUAUUAGAUGAAAUAUGAAUUUUACUUUACGUAUGACUAAUUUUUUUAUAAAUUUUUAAAUAAAAUAAAUAGUCAAAGGUUGAACAUGAAAAUCCAAGAUGCAUUUAAA
rnacentral:pre_miRNA from 1 species